CACUCACUUGUGCUGCAUGUGGCUGCCAUAGAAGCUUUCACAGAAGGGAAGUUGACACUGAGGUCGUGUGUGAGUGCUCUUCACCGUCUUCAACCGCGACUUAACUAGAGAUGAAACUAAAGCUUAAUCAAGGAUUGUUAAUCAGUGGAGGUUAAUUCAUGUCAUGUGUUAACUUUGCUUGUUUCUCUAUAUAUCUGGGUUUGAGGGUUUUGAUCUUCAAGUACUUUCUCUCUCUCUUUUUAAUUUGGUUUUCGUGUUUGAGAUUGUUCAUUUUCCUUGUCGAUUUAUAGGGUUAAUUCAUUGACAUGAGUGGCUAAGACCUCCUUAAUUUGUGAUCCCAUAUUUAUGUACAAAAGAGAGAAGAAGUGUGUUUUGUUCUUGAAUAUGAAUGAAUGAUUCUCCC
rnacentral:lncRNA from 1 species